rnacentral:lncRNA from 1 species
AGGGCAACAAAGAAGGGACCUCCAAGCAAUUCACGUGGACAAAACCGAUGGAACAUCUUUUUCUUGAAAUUUUAGCAGAUGAGGCCCAGAAAGGAAAUAAGCCUUCUAAUACUUUCAAAGCAGUUUCUAUUAAUCGAGUUGUCGAAGCUAUUUCUGAAAAAUUUCAAGUCCAAUGCGAUGCAAAACAUGUGGAAAAUCAUUUGAGGACUGUAAAAAAAGUGGCAGAUUAUAUGCACAAUUCGGGGUGAAAGUGGUUUUGGAUGGGAUGAUAACAUGAAAAUGAUCACAUGUGAUAGAGCGACAUAUGAUGCAGCAGUAAUGGUAAUAUAUGUAUAUAUAUAGUAAGUAUAUUUCAAUUAUUUUUUACUUGUUAUCCUAAUUUUGUAUAAUAUCCAACAGGCGCACAAGAAGUAUGAGCCAUUUUUGAAUAAAAGCAUUGAUCAUUAUGAUGAAAUGGCUUUGGUUGUUGGCAAAGAUAUGGCAAUAGGGAGUUUUGCCAGAACAUUUGCUGACAUAGAUUUGGAUGAUGAUAACAUAGAUUCAGUGCCUAUAGACUGCGAGAAUGAAGCGACUGAAGAGGUAAGAACAAAUGUAUCUUCAUCUGGCACAUCCAAACGUAAAAGAAAAAAGGCUCAAGAAAGUGUCAAUGAUGAACAAAUUAAAUUUGUGGGUGAACAACUUGGCAAAAUUGCUAAUGCUUUGGAACAAUUUACUGCGGAUAAGACACCACAUCUUUACGAAGAAGUGAUGUCAAUGGAGGUAGAAGGAUUUGAUGAUGACUUCCUUUGUUCUGUGUUUGAUUAUUUAGUGAGUCAUGAAUCUGAGGCAAAAGCUUUUUUAGUUAAAAGUAAGAAGCAUAGAAAAAUUUGGCUUCAAAAAUUUUCUCAAGGUUGAAGAUAUUGAUACUUUUAAUGUGGUGUAAUAUUAGUUAUGCACUUGGACAAUAUUGUUGUUAUCAUGUGGUGUAAUAUUAGUUAUCAUAU